UACGUAGGCAGCGAGCGUUGUUCGGAAUUACUGGGCGUAAAGAGUGUGUAGGCGGUGCUCUAAGUUUGGUGUGAAAUCUCCCGGCUCAACUGGGAGGGUGCGCCGAAUACUGAAUGACUAGAGUGCGGGAGAGGAUAGUGGAAUUCCUGGUGUAGCGGUGAAAUGCGUAGAUAUCGGAAGGAACAUCAGUGGCGAAGGCGACUUUCUGGACAAAUACUGACACUGAGGCACGAAAGCAUGGGGAGCAAACAGG
rnacentral:rRNA from 1 species